rnacentral:rRNA from 1 species
UACGUAGGGUGCAAGCGUUUGUCCGGAAUUAUUGGGCGUAAAGAGCGUGUAGGCGGCCCGAUUAGUCCGCUGUGAAAGUCCAGGGCUCAACCCUGGAAUGCCGGUGGAUACUGUCGGGCUAGAGUCCGGAAGGGGCGAGUGGAAUUCCUGGUGUAGCGGUGAAAUGCGCAGAUAUCAGGAGGAACACCCGUGGCUAAGGCGGCUCUCUAGUACGGUACUGACGCUGAGACGCGAAAGCGUGGGGAGCGAACAGG